rnacentral:rRNA from 1 species
GUCAGAUGUGAAAUCCCCGGGCUCAACCUGGGAACUGCAUUUGAAACUGGCAAGCUAGAGUCUCGUAGAGGGGGGUAGAAUUCCAGGUGUAGCGGUGAAAUGCGUAGAGAUCUGGAGGAAUACCGGUGGCGAAGGCGGCCCCCUGGACGAAGACUGACGCUCAGGUGCGAA